UGCGUGCCGAGUUGUUUUGGUGCUCUACAGUGAGGACUGCCUCAAGGAUCUGGCCGCCGACCUGCUGCUUUCCCCGUCCUUCUAUGCCCCUCCCCGUGGCCAGAUUCCUAGUGAUUGGACGAACUCUGAAACUCAAGUAAGAAAUCUCGUGUGCAUCCCUGUUUCCUUCACGUAGCUAGUAGUAUUUGGUUAGGCUAUGGGAGCACUUGAAGCACCGAGCUUGUGCUCUAGUAAUGGCGGCUGUGGGGGGUCUCCCUCACCAACGUGUUAGACAGACUAGGGGUUGAAGAAGAGUGUGAACCGUUGGAUCCACAUGGACGGUUCAGAUUAAAACACAAAUAUCUUUUCGCUUCAGUAAACCAUGAUCGUAGAUCAGUGGAUGUGCGGGCAGGGUUUGGCGAUGAGAUUUUAAAAUCACAACCAUUGAUCCUCGAUCUGGCUGUCACCGCUCCUCACCGGUUCGAUGUAGUUUCGAUUUAAUCUGGACCGUGCGUAGUUGAUCGGGUGGCCGGGAUUUAACCAUACCCCCUUCGCCGUGCAUAUCUUUCAAAAGAGACCCUGUGUUUUGGUUUAAUCAACCCGCCGUCCUUGUGGAUGUUAUUCUGAGUCUUGGGAACACUUGCGCAGGGGCCCCUGUACUCUACAGAAUUUGAUGCGCGGUCCAAAGUGUAAUAAAAAUAAAGAAAUAGUCCAGGAAAUUGAUUUUUAAUACAAAAAUAAAUUCAAAAACUUGUAUAAAUCGUAUUAAAUCAAUUUUAGCUUCAAUUUGAGUCAUUCCAGUUACAAUAAUUUUGUAUUAUUAUUAUCUAUCAUUUAGUACCACUGUUUUGACAGGAAUAUCAAAAUAAAAUUUAUAUCCUAUUUAAUCUUGUACAAAACACAUAAAACCUUCAAAAAUUCAUAACUUAAAAUCUAUAACUGUAAAAUUAAUGAUUCAUUUUCCUGUGAUCUUAUUUUAAUAUGUAGAUUAUUAAUACAUAGUUUAUUUUUAUGUUUGGUGUGAUGUUAAUUUUGCCUAUACAUGUUUGUCUAUAUUGCUACGUUUAGCAGUGAGAACACGUGUCACCUAAAGAUCAUCCCGGUACCUGGAAUCUCAAGUCCCAAGCAAGUUGUGCCCUUGAUCACUUCUUUUUUCCCAGUCAUGUUCUGAUUAAUCAUAAUGAUCUGCAUAGGUUAAUUUUGAUGGGACCCAACAUGUUACCCUAGUUUGAUUAUCUUUAUACCUUGACUCCACUAAACUUUUUGGGUAGUACCUGCUAUUGCUUUAUGUGGUUUUGGGUAUGAGGAUUACACUAUUCAUGAUUAUACUUUUGUUAUCAGUUGUUAUUUAUUGUUCAUGUUAAGAUCAUUAUGUUAAUUGGAACAUGGAGAACCACCCGGGAAAACAGUGCUACCACAAGGGUUUAUGGACGCCCUUGGCUGAUUAACUAGGAAAGCUAGUGGAUGAUUACCUUACCCGAAGGCCGGGGCAAGGGCAGUAGGGGAGUGGUCAGUGUAGGGAGGUCCUUGGUUGAUUUUGCUGCGAUGGCGGUCAGUCGAGGGACUCCUGCACUGGAGCUUCCUAUAAACUAUAGCGGGUUUUCUGAAGCUAGUGGAACUUUGUAAAGGCCUCAUAGUGUUACCCUGCCUCGCCUCCUCGGUAGAGGUGUAUGAGAUUGGCUGUCUCUUGGCAGAUGGGUAACAUGACUUGUGGGUAAAAAGGCACAACCUCUGCAGAGUGUAAAACUGGUAUACUAGUCGUGCUCACGGUCAUGAGCAGCUCGGACACUCACAUGAUUAAUUUAUGGAACUAAAUUCAAUUUGUCAUAUGCAUUGCAUCGCAGGUGAUGUUAUUACUUUUUUUAAUUGGGUUGGUAUUUACUUAUACUUAGUAAUUGCUAAUAAAAUUUUGACCAACUUUAAAAGCAAUGCUCAGCUCUAACCAUUCUCUUUGGUAAGCCUUACACUUCACGUGAGCUCCCAUCUUUGGCGAGUUCAUGCACAUUAUUCCCCACAACUUGUUGAGCGAUGAACGUAUGUGAGCUCACUCUUGCUGUCUCACACCCCCCACAGGUCAAGAAUAGGUACCACAGGAUGAGGCGCUUGGAGGAUGUUGUGACGAGUUCGCGAGAGGUCUAGGUCGUCGUCUCCUAGUCAACUUUAGGUUGUUGGACCGUUGUCUCCGUAUAAUGUAUUUAUUUAUUUAUUUUGUAUAGAACUCCUAUUAUAUAGUAAAGAUGUGACAUUCGAUCGUAUGACAUGAUUCAUCAUAUGUGUGAGACUUGGUCCCAGCACACCUGGUGAUUAUGUUCGCGCCCGGGUCUUGGGGCCCCUAAAACCCGGGUGUGACAAAAGUGGUAUCAGAGGAAUGUUGACUGUAGGACGAAACCUAGACAAAACUGGAUAACCAAUACUUACUUACCUUUGCUACUCUGAUCUUUUCUAAACUUUCCUUAAUCUUUUCUCAUCUAUUUCCGCUUACUCUGAUUAUUCUUACCUUUUCCCACUAAAGACAAAUGUGGAUUUCACACUUUGAAAUCCUGUACCUAAAGUGACUUUUAGGAAUAGGAGACCUACUCUUAGGAACAAAAACAAAACUAUUUUUGUAAGGUAUCUAUACGCUUGAGUGUUUGUUCUUAUGAUACUUGUCUGAUUUGGAUCUUUGAUUGAGUGUGAUGGGUUGUGGAGUAAUGUCCACAAUUACAUCUGCAUAUACAUAUAGAUAAAAAUGCUUAUAAAAAUAACUAGAUAAACUAGAUUAUCCCUCAUUAAAGUAUCUAGCCUAACAGUAGCUAUCUCAUCUUAAAAGGUUAUAUCCUACACUCAUAGAUCCAUCUUAUCUUAAAAAGAUACUCAUCUUAUCUUGAAAAGAUCUUACGUCGCCUUAGUAGAUCUAACUGACCUCAAAGGAUUCUACCCUAUCCUUAUGGAUUCAUCUUGCCCUAGUAAGCAUAAUUAUUCCACACUAGUGUAACGACCAUGAUCUAAUCCAAAGUAAUUAGAUACUAUCUACUCAUAUCCGAUCUAAUCUAGAUCCUAUCUAAUCUAAUACGAUCUAAUCUAAUGUGGUCUACUUAAACAAAUUAAUAAUACUGAUAGAAGAGAUUAGACCCUACUAACCAGGUAUUAACCUAACUUCGCAUAUUAGACCAACUCAACCAUGAGCAUAAGAGCUAACCCAACCAAUAGAGUCAUUAUGGAUUGCAUAAUCUUUCUAUCCCCACCUAACUUCAAACAAACUUUUAACCUAUAUCAUGUAGUCUAUCUCACCCAUAUCUAUUUUAACGAGCCCGAUAAUAUACACUAACUCCUAAUCAAUGAGACAAGACCGGAGAAGAUGAUCAACCUCAUCAAGGAAGGAUAAGCAUCAACUCAAGCCUUCAAAGAUCAAGCUAAAUCAUCAAAUGAAUCAAGAUCCACAAAUCUUGGAUGGAGUCUUUCCUUACCCUACACUUUCUUACCCAAACCUAUCUAUGCUUUAAAGACAUCUUCUAUCCUACAUAAUAAAGUAGACAUACAUAUAUACACCCAUGCUUUCCUAAUCAACCACUAUUGACUAUAAAAUACUCUGGAUAUUUGAAACAAGUAUAGACUAAAAGUUGAAAUUACAAGCCAAUCCUUUUGUAUUCCUUUCCUUACAAAUCUCGAGGACGAGAUUUCUGUUAGGGGGGUAGGAUUUGUAAAGCCCUAAAAUUUGUAUAAGGUAAAAAAAUAAUAAUAAAAUCAAUAAAUACAUGGUUUUACAUAAAAGCGUUUUGGGAAUUAUGUGUUUUCCCUUUUUUUGUGCAUACUCACUUAAGAGAAAUAAAGCAGUCAAAUAACAAAUAAAUAAAUAUAGAAAAGGCAUAUCAUGCUAAGGUUUUCUUGUAUGUUGCAUUUGUAUUCAAAUGUAUGAGACAAGUUUAAGUUUGAAAAGAAGAAUUUGUAACACCCAAAAUCCUAUUUUGGGAUUUAUAAAAGUCUCUCCAAAAGGGUUUAAAUUAAAAUUCCCUUUAAUCCCAGGUUUCUUAUCUUUAAAGUCUUGCAUUCAUGCUGGAGAUUUUUGAUUGGUGCACUUGCUUUGGAUUUGAAACCUUAAACUUAGAUUUGAAUUCGAAAUAUAUAAACUAAAAUAAAGAAAAAAAAUAAUCACCUGUUGAUGCCCACACCGCGUGGCCCAGUCUCAAAUUUUCCCCACGCAAGCCCACAUAUAUGUGCACUACGUGUGUUAUUUUUCCUAUUCUUUAAUCCCCUAGCCGAAGAUGACAUCAUGAUGACAUCUUGGAUGACUUCAUCCCAUCAGACACUUACACGUGGGACUGACUCAACAGAUUCUUCUCCCUGCUUGAGUCCGUUUGCAAACCACCACCGGGGAUCACGGAAUCUUGAUCCGGCCGGGUAUUAGUUUACCUCUCCUCGCCUCUAUAAAACCCACCGUCCGCCUGGAGUUCAUCGUGGCCGCUUCUCUCCUUGCCCAGCUGCCUCUGCGUGCCGAGUUGUUUUGGUGCUCUACGGUGAGGACUGCCUCAAGGAUCCGGCCGCCGACCCGCUGCUUUCCCCGUCCUCCUAUGCCCCUCCCCGUGGCCGGAUUCCUAGUGAUUGGACAAACUCUAAAACUCAAGCAAGAAAUCUCGUGUGCAUCCCUGUUUCCUUCACGUAGCUAGUAGUAUUUGGUUAGGCUAUGGGAGCACUUGAAGCACCGAGCUUGUGCUCUGGUAAUGGCGGCUGUGGGGGGUCUCCCUCGCCAACGUGUUAGACAGACUAGGGGUUGAAGAAGAGUGCGAACCGUUGGAUCCACACGGACGGUUCAGAUUAAAACACAGAUAUCUUUUCGCUUCAGUAAACCAUGACCGUAGAUCAGUGGAUGUGCGGGUAGGGUUUGGCGAUGAGAUUUUAAAAUCACAACCAUUGAUCCUCGAUCUGGCGGUCACCGCUCCUCACCAGUUCGAUGUAGUUUCGAUUUAAUCUAGACCGUGCGUAGUUGAUCGGGUGGCCGGGAUUUAACCAUACCCCCUUCGUCGUGCAUAUCUUUCAAAAGAGACCCUGUGUUUGGUUUAAUCAACCCGACGUCCUUGCGGAUGCUGUUGAGUCUUGGGAACACUUGCGCAGGGGCCCCUGUACUCUACAGAAUUUGAUGCGCGGUCCAGAGUGUAAUAAAAAUAAAGAAAUAGUCCAGGAAAUUGAUUUUUAAUACAAAAAUAAAUUCAAAAACUUGUAUAAAUCAUAUUAAAUCUAUUUUAGCUUCAAUUUGAGUCAUUCCAGUUGCAAUAAUUUUGUAUUAUUAUUAUCUAUCAUUUAGUACCACUGUUUUGACAGGAAUAUCAAAAUAAAAUUUAUAUCCUAUUUAAUCUUGUACAAAACACAUAAAACCUUCAAAAAUUCAUAACUUAAAAUCUAUAACUGUAAAAUUAAUGAUUCAUUUUCCUGUGAUUUUAUUUUAAUAUGUAAAUUAUUAAUACAUAGUUUAUUCUUAUGUUUGGUGUGAUGUUAAUUUUGCCUAUACAUGUUUGUCUAUAUUGCUACGUUUAGCAGUGAGAACACGUGUCACCUAAAGAUCAUCCUGGUACCUGGAAUCUCAAGUCCCAGGCAAGUUGUGCACUUGAUCACUUCUUUUUACCCAGUCAUGUUCUGAUUAAUCAUAAUGAUCUGCAUAGGUUAAUUUUGAUGGGACCCAACAAGUUACCCUAGAUUGAUUAUCUUUACACCUUGACUCCACUAAACUUUUUGGGUAGUACCUGCUAUUGCUUUAUGUGGUUUUGGGUAUGAGGAUUAAACUAUUAAAGAUUAUACUUUUGUUAUCAGUUGUUAUUUAUUGUUCAUGUUAAGAUCAUUAUGUUAAUUGGAACAUGGAGAACCACCCGGGAAAACAGUGCUACCACAAGGGUUUAUGGACGCCCUUGGCUGAUUAACUAGUAAAGCUAGUGGAUGAUUACCUUACCCGAAGGGGGCAAGGGCAGUAGGGGAGUGGUCAGUGUAGGGAGGUCCUUGGUUGAUUUUGCUGCGAUGGCGGUCAGUCGAGGGACUCCUGCACUGGAGCUUCCUAUAAACUGUAGCGGGUUUUCUGAAGCUAGUGGAACUUUGUAAAGGCCUCGUAGUGUUACCCUGCCUCGCCUCCUCGGUAGAGGUGUAUGGGAUUGGCCGUCUCUUGGCAGAUGGGUAACAUGACUUGUGGGUAAAGAUGCACAACCUCUGCAGAGUGUAAAACUGGUAUACUAGCCGUGCUCACGGUCAUGAGCAGCUCGGACACUCACAUGAUUAAUUUAUGGAACUAAAUUCAAUUUGUCAUAUGCAUUGCAUCGCAGGUGAUGUUAUUACUUUUUUUAAUUGGGUUGGUAUUUACUUAUACUUAGUAAUUGCUAAUAAAAUUUUGACCAACUUUAAAAGCAAUGCUCAGCUCUAACCAUUCUCUUUGGUAAGCCUUACACUUCACGUGAACUCCCAUCUUUGGCGAGUUCAUGCACAUUAUUCCCCACAACUUGUUGAGCGAUGAACGUAUGUGAGCUCACUCUUGCUGUCUCACACCCCCACAGGUCAAGAACAGGUACCACAGGAUGAGGCGCUUGGAGGAUGCUGUGACGAGUUCGCGAGAGGUCUAGGUCGUCGUCUCCUAGUCAACUUUAGGUUGCCGGACCGUUGUCUCCGUAUAAUGUAUUUAUUUAUUUAUUUUGUAUAGAACUCCUAUUAUAUAGUAAAGAUG
rnacentral:lncRNA from 1 species